rnacentral:RNase_P_RNA from 1 species
GAGUUGAUUGGGCAGUUGCGUGCUAUUAAUUUAGUAUGAGGAAAGUCCGAGCAGCACAGAGCAGGAUAACGGCUAACGGCCGCCGAGGGUAACCUUAGGAACAGUGCAACAGAAAUAAACCGCCGUGCAAACGGCAAGGGUGGAAAGGCGAGGUAAGAGCUCACCGAGCAGGUGGAGACAUCUGCUGCCAUGUAAACUCUAUCCGCUGCAACACAGAAUCGGAAGUUGUUUGCUCGACACAUAAUCCGGAAAUGUGGCUAGAGCGUAUCGGCAACGAUGCGUCGAGAUAGAUAAUUGCCCACGACAGAACUCGGCUUACAGAUCAACUCG